AAAGACAAAGAUCCUAUCUGAAAAUAACCUGAUGCUUUUUUCCUGGUUACAUACUUUGCUUGCUCUGUUUCUAUCAAAAAGAUCAGAUCUUUGGCUUUUCUUGGCACUGCAUUGCUCAAAUCUUUCACUAUCUUCCUUCAGAUUUCACCAGUUGUGAGAAUACUUUACUCAUGGAAACGCCAGAGAGAUCAUCAAUACUAGAUUCCUCGAAUCGCCCCGCUGUGCCCGGAACGUUAACACUAGUGUCUCCCUGACUGAAAUUAUUGAUCUGCGGAGGUAAUUCACCAAUCAUAUUCGUGCUAUUAUCUUCUGGUUCACCAUCAAUGACUGCUUCUUGAAGCUGCAGAGCGUAUUCAAGAUUCCACAACACAUCUCCCAUAGAUGGCCUAUCAACUCCAUAAUCCGCUAAACAUUUCUCACCUGUUUCCGCAAAUUUCCUUAACGAAUCGGGUCUGAUAUUUCCGCGAAG